rnacentral:rRNA from 1 species
AUUGAACGCUGGCGGCAGGCCUAACACAUGCAAGUCGAGCGGAUGAAGGGAGCUUGCUCCUGGAUUCGGCGGCGGACGGGUGAGUAAUGCCUAGGAAUCUGCCUGGUAGUGGGGGAUAACGUCCGGAAACGGGCGCUAAUACCGCAUACGUCCUGAGGGAGAAAGUGGGGGAUCUUCGGACCUCACGCUAUCAGAUGAGCCUAGGUCGGAUUAGCUAGUUGGUGGGGUAAAGGCCUACCAAGGCGACGAUCCGUAACUGGUCUGAGAGGAUGAUCAGUCACACUGGAACUGAGACACGGUCCAGACUCCUACGGGAGGCAGCAGUGGGGAAUAUUGGACCAUGGGCGAAAGCCUGAUCCAGCCAUGCCGCGUGUGUGAAGAAGGUCUUCGGAUUGUAAAGCACUUUAAGGUGGGAGGAAGGGCAGUAAGUUAAUACCUUGCUGUUUUGACGUUACCAACAGAAUAAGCACCGGCUAACUUCGUG